rnacentral:rRNA from 1 species
UCAGUAACACGUAGUCAACAUGCCCAGGGGACGUGGAUAACCUCGGGAAACUGAGGAUAAACCGCGAUAGGUCACUACUUCUGGAAUGGGUAAUGACCCAAACCUAUAUGGCCCCUGGAUUGGACUGCGGCCGAUCAGGCUGUUGGUGAGGUAAUGGCCCACCAAACCUGUAACCGGUACGGGCUCUGAGAGGAGGAGCCCGGAGAUGGGCACUGAGACAAGGGCCCAGGCCCUAUGGGGCGCAGCAGGCGCGAAACCUCUGCAAUAGGCGAAAGCUUGACAGGGUUACUCUGAGUGAUUUCCGUUAACGGAGAUCUUUUGGCACCUCUAAAAAUGGUGCAGAAUAAGGGGUGGGCAAGUCUG